rnacentral:rRNA from 1 species
GAUGAACGCUGGCGGCGUGCCUAAUACAUGCAAGUCGAGCGAUCAGACUAGUAGCUUGCUCCUCUGACGUUAGCGGCGUACGGGUCAGUAAUACGUCGUUAACCUACCUAUAAGACUGGGUUACCUUCGGGAAACCGGUGCUACUUCCUGUUAUUAUAUUGAUCAGCUUUUUUCAAUAGCUAAGGAGGGUUUUGCUGUCACUUCUAGAUGUAUCCGCGCCGCAUAAGAUAGUUGUCAUGGUAACGGAGUACCAAAGCAACGAUGCGUAGCCGAGCUGCGAGGGGGAUCGGACACACUGGACCUGAGAUAAGGUCCAGACUCCAACGGGAGGCAGGAGUAGGGAAUCUUACGCAAUGGGAGAAAGGAGGACGGAGCAAAGCCGCGUGAGGGAUGAAGGUAUUCGGAUAGGAAAAGUCUGUUAUUAGGGAAGAACAAAAAUGUAAGUAACUAGGCACGACUUGAAGGUACCUAAUGAGAAAGCCACGGCUAACUACGUG